rnacentral:misc_RNA from 1 species
CACAAACUAUUGACACAAACACACGCGAACCAAAUCGUCCACACAGGUGCCGAUGAAAGAGAGAAUCUGAUUGUCGCCUUUUGGGGUAUACAAGCACUCUUUUCCAUCGCCUCUGUGCAGGGCGUAACUUCCCAUUGAGAGGAUGUGAGGGCACCACAGGAAGCUUUUCCACAGGAAGUCGCCAUCCUUCUCCCUCCACGACGGCGGCGCUUCACAGGCUUGGCAGUUUUUUUUUUUUUUAUUGCCUUCCAGGGAGGAUGCCGCCAAUGGAGCCACAUAGACAUUUACAUCAUCAUAUGCCCGUUUUUCUUUCUUAACCGCUUGCCACAGUUUCUCCUGUGAGGAGCUUGUGGGAAG